rnacentral:rRNA from 1 species
GAUGAACGCUGGCGGCGUGCUUAACACAUGCAAGUCGAACGAGAAGUGGAGACGGAAACCUUCGGGCGGAAGACUUUACUUCGAGUGGCGGACGGGUGAGUAACGCGUGGGUAACCUGCCUCAUACAGGGGGAUAACAGUUGGAAACGACUGUUAAUACCGCAUAAGACCACAGCACCGCAUGGUGCGGGGGUAAAAACUCCGGUGGUAUGAGAUGGACCCGCAUUCGAUUAGCCAGUUGGCGGGGUAACGGCCCACCAAAGCGACGAUCGAUAGCCGAUCUGAGAGGAUGACCGGCCACAUUGGGACUGAGACACGGCCCAAACUCCUACGGGAGGCAGCAGUGGGGAAUAUUGCACAAUGGGGGAAACCCUGAUGCAGCGACGCCGCGUGAGUGAAGAAGUAUUUCGGUAUGUAAAGCUCUAUCAGCAGGGAAGAAAAUGACAGUACCUGAGUAAGAAGCCCCGGCUAACUACGUG